UUAUUAUUAUUAAUACAUUUAUUAUUUCACUCUGAUCUUAUUAUUAUUAUUGCAUUUAUUAUUUUACUCUAUUAUUACAUGUAUUGUAUUUAUUAUUUAUUUAUUUAUUUAUUUAUUUAUUAGCAGCAUUUAUAUCCCACCCUUCUCAUCCCAAAGGGGACUCAGGGCGGCUUAAAAGUUAUAUAUACUGUAUAUACCCGAGUAUAAGCCUAGUUUUUCAGCCCUUUUUUUAAGACUGAGAAAGCCCCUCUCGGCUUAUACUCGGGUGAGGGUCCUGGUUGGCUUAUAUUUGAAUCAGCUUAUACUCGAGAAUAUAUGGUAUAUUUAUUAUUUUUCUCUAUUAUUGUUGCUACUAUUACAUUUAUUUUACUCUAUUUUUAUCAUUAUUAAUACAUUUAUUAUUUCACUCUUAUUAUUAUUGCAUUUAUUAUUUUACUCUAUUUAUUAUUGCAUGUACAGUAGAGUCUCACUUAUCCAAGCUAAACGGGCCGGCAGAACGUUGGAUAAGUGAAUAUGUUGGAUAAUAAGGAGGGAUAAAGGAAAAGCCUAUUAAACACCAAAUUAUGUUAUGAUUUUACAAAUUAAGCACCAAAACAUCAUGUUAUACAACAAAUUUGACAGAAAAAGUAGUUCAAUAUGCAGUAAUGCUAUGUAGUAAUUACUGUAUUUAUUAAUUUAGCACCAAAAUAUCAUGAUGUAUUGAAAACAUUGACUACAAAAAUGCGUUGGAUAAUCCAGAAUGUUGGAUAAGCGAAUGUUGGAUAAGUGAGACUCGAGAAUAUAUGGUACAUUUAUUAUUUUUCUCUGUUAUUGUUGCUACUAUUACAUUUAUUUUACUCUAUUUUUAUUAUUAUUAUUGAUACAUUUAUUACUUCACUCUGAUCUUAUUAUUAUUAUUGCAUUUAUUAUUUUACUCUAUUUAUUAUUACAUGUAUUAUUUUACUCUAUUAUUAUUAAAAGGAUACAUAAGCACAUUUGCAUUGAAGAAGAUGAGAAUAAUGAUUGGAUCAGAGUUGGACAGUCUUAUCUUAAAUUUGAGCUUGAUGUAAAUAUUCAAAAACAUUUAACCUACUGAUGCCUCAAUCAAUGUAAUUUUAUUGGUAUCAAUUUUUAUUUCUGAAAUUUACCACCCUCGGCUUAUACUGGAGUCAAUGUUUUCCCAGGUUGUUUUUUUUUUUUUUUUUUUUUUGUGGUAAAAUUAGGUGCCUCGGCUUAUAUUCGUGUUGGCUUAUACUCGAGUAUAUAAGGAGACAUGGUGGAAACAACGGGCAAAACCAUUUCCAUCUCAGCUGCCUACGGAGCUUGGGAAAGUUACUUUUUGUGGGCAACAACUCUCAGGAUCUCCUAUCCACUUCCAAAAAAACCCGGAGCUGUGGCGCAGACGGGAGAGCAAGCCAGUGUAAUUAAUUGCAAUGAAUCACUGACCAGGAGGUCAUAAGUUCGAGGCCCGCUCGGAGCUAUGUUUUUUGUUUGUCUUUGUCCUAUGUUAAAAGGCAUUGAAUGUUUGCCUGAUGUGUGUAAUGUGAUCCGCCCUGAGUCCCCUUCGGGGUGAGAAGGGCGGAAUAUAAAUGCUGUAAAUAAAUAAAUAAUAAAUAAAUACGUAAUCUAC